UACGUAGGGUGCGAGCGUUGUCCGGAAUUAUUGGGCGUAAAGAGCUCGUAGGCGGCCUGUCGCGUCGGAUGUGAAAGCCCGGGGCUCAACCCCGGGCCUGCAUUCGAUACGGGCAGACUAGAGUUCGGUAGGGGAGUCUGGAAUUCCUGGUGUAGCGGUGAAAUGCGCAGAUAUCAGGAGGAACACCGGUGGCGAAGGCGGGACUCUGGGCCGAUACUGACGCUGAGGAGCGAAAGCGUGGGGAGCGAACAGG
rnacentral:rRNA from 1 species